AUCCAGCUGACGAGUCUCAAAUUAAACGAAACGCACGUCAAACUGGAU
rnacentral:hammerhead_ribozyme from 1 species